AAUGGGCGAAAGCCUGACGGAGCAAUACCGCGUGAGGGAGGAAGGCUCUUGGGUUGUAAACCUCUUUUCUCAGGGAAGAAAAAAAUGACGGUACCUGAGGAAUAAGCAUCGGCUAACUCCGUGCCAGCAGCCGCGGUAAUACGGAGGAUGCAAGCGUUAUCCGGAAUGAUUGGGCGUAAAGGGUCCGCAGGUGGCUAUGUAAGUCUGCUGUUAAAGAAUGAGGCUUAACCUCAUCAGAGCGGUGGAAACUACACAGCUAGAGUGCGUUCGGGGUAGAGGGAAUUCCUGGUGUAGCGGUGAAAUGCGUAGAUAUCAGGAAGAACACCAGUGGCGAAAGCGCUCUACUAGGCCGCAACUGACACUGAGGGACGAAAGCUAGGGGAGCGAAAGGGAUUAGAU
rnacentral:rRNA from 1 species